CUCAAUGAUGCUUCUGUUGUGGACUGCAGUGCUGUUUGCUCAGUACACCAAAGGAGAGAUUGUUUUGACUCAGAAGCCAUCGGUGAAAUCUGUUCUCCUUGGAGAUCAAGUCACUCUUGACUGCAUGUCCAGUUCCUCCAGUUUUACUAGCAGCCUGGCUUGGUACCUGCAGAGGCCUGGAGAAAAACCCAAACUCCUGUUUUCUUCAGUGGGUAGCCGAGUGUCUGGGACACCGAGCCGUUUCAGUGACGGCAGAUCUGGGACUGUGUUCUCGCUGACCAUUAAAGGAGUCCAGCCUGAAGACGUGGGUGAUUAUUACUGUCAGCAGUACUAUGAGCUCCCUCUCACACAAUGA